rnacentral:rRNA from 1 species
AUACGUAGGGAGCGAGCGUUAUCCGGAUUUAUUGGGCGUAAAGCGCGCGUAGGCGGCUCGCCAAGCAGGAUCUCAAAUCCGAGGGCUCAACCCCUGGCCGGAUCCUGAACUGGCGGGCUCGAGUUCGGUAGAGGAAGACGGAAUUCCCAGUGUAGCGGUGAAAUGCGCAGAUAUUGGGAAGAACACCGAUGGCGAAGGCAGUCUUCUGGGCCGUAACUGACGCUGAGGUGCGAAAGCUAGGGGAGCGAACAGGAUUAGAUACCCUGGUAGUCCUAGCCGUAAACGAUGGGCACUAGGUGUGGGGGAGUGCUUCCUCCGUGCCGCAGCUAACGCAUUAAGUGCCCCGCCUGGGGAGUACGGCCGCAAGGCUAAA